GGGGGGGGGGGGGGGGGGGGGGGGCGCGGGCAGGGCGAGCGGGGGCACGGUGGGGGGGUGCUCGGACGGGUGGCGGGGGGCGGGCGGGUGAGGAGUACAUCGGGCUCUCGUUUGUCGUGGGGGAUCACGGAGGCAAACUUACGCUAAUACCGCAUACGACGUACGGGUGGGAGCAGGGGAUCUUCGGCCCUCGCGCGCUUGAAUGAGCUGAUGUCGGAUUUGCUAGUUGGCGGGGUAAAGGCCCACCAAGCCGAUGACCAGUAGCUGGUCUGAGAGGAUGAUCAGCCACACUGGAACUGAGACACGGUCCAGACUCCUACGGGAGGCAGCAGUGGGGAAGAGUGGACAAUGGGCGCAAGCCUGAUCCAGCCAUACCGCGUGGGUGAAGAAGGCCUUCGGGUUGUAAAGCCCUUUUGUUGGGAAAGAAAAGCAGCAGGUUAAUACCCCGCUGUUCUGACGGUACCCAAAGAAUAAGCACCGGCUAACUUCGUG
rnacentral:rRNA from 1 species